UACGUAGGGGGCAAGCGUUGUCCGGAUUCAUUGGGCGUAAAGGGUGCGUAGGCGGCGCGGUAAGUCGGGUGUGAAAUCUUGGAGCUUAACUCCGAAACUGCAUUCGAUACUGCCGUGCUUGAGGACUGGAGAGGAGACUGGAAUUUACGGUGUAGCGGUGAAAUGCGUAGAUAUCGUAAGGAAGACCAGUGGCGAAGGCGGGUCUCUGGACAGUUCCUGACGCUGAGGCACGAAGGCCAGGGGAGCAAACGGG
rnacentral:rRNA from 1 species